UUUUGUCUUUUUGGAUAUUUAUUAUAUAAAAAUAUAAAUAUAAAAUCCAUUAUAGCAGAGUUUAUAAGAUUAAAUUACAUGCUUGCAAAUAUCAUUAAUAGGUUAACAUACCCUUCUGAACAUGUCAUCAUGUCAGCCUCUCUGUCAUUUUAAGAUGGAGCAUCGUCUGUCUCCAAGUCUCUCCUCUGUGUCUUAACAUUU